UGGACUGUAGUUCAGUGGUAGAGCAUCUGUUUUGCAUGCAGAACAUCCCAGAUUCAAUCCCCAGCCUCUCCAG